CAGUGCCAGAACGUAAACAUACAUAAACCCUAUUUACCAAAAAGUUACCUUUGUAGCAAAGGUGUAAAUAUUGGGAAAAGUGAGGAAUUGCAAUUUUUGCAUUCAACGUACCAUAGUGUCCAUCUUCACCCCAUCAGUGGAUGAAGCUCUCUUCCUCUAGGCCUUUAGUUCUCACACUUUUGCAUGCAUCAGUAUCACUUGGAAGGCUUGUUAAAACCGAUUGCUGAGGCCUACACCCACAGUUUCUGAUUCAGAACAUCUAGGAUGCCAAGAAUUUGCUUUUCUAACAAGUUUCCAGGUGUUUCUGAUGCGAUCGGCCUACAAACCAGAGUUUGAGAACCACUGUUCUAGGACAUUCCUUCCACAUGUGCUCAGGAUUUCACUUACCCCCCACUUUAGUAGGAAUGUUGAUUUUUAAAUUAUCCUCCCUUUUCCUUUAUCUCAUGCUUUUUAGUUACUUUGGUACUUAGAACGAGGUCUGUGGACCAGAAACAUCAGUAUCACCAAUGUCAGCUUGUAAGAAAUGCAGUCUCAGACCUACGAGGUCAGAAUCUGUAUUUUAAUAAGACCUGUGUGGGCAUUCAUGUUUGGGAAGCACUGCCUGUGGAUCAUUCUUAUCAGCAGGCAGGCAAGCAAGCAUGUUCUUGAUUUCCUCCUCCAAGCCUGCCCAUCUUCCAGUGUCCUGUGUUAGUGGAUGGCACCACCAUUCAUGCAGCUGCUGAGGCUAAACAGGAAUUCUCCUUGACUUCUCAGAUGACCUACAUCCAGUUCAUCACCACAUUGUGAUUUUAGGAUUAUAUAUCCUGCAACUUUACCACUUCCACAGCUUUGAUCUUGAUCCAAGAUGCCAUCAUCUCUCACUUGGACUAGUGCUGGUACCAGCUUCUUACCUGGUUACUUGGCUUCUACCCUGUCCGCCAGCAGCUUGUUUUCUUCCAGUCAACCACAGUGAUCCUUUAAAAACAGAUCUUAUAUUCCCUUUCAAAAUCCUACCAUGGUUCCCCAUAUUUAAAAUCAAAACCAAAGCCGAAGUCCUUUUUGUGGUCUGCCAGGCUGCAUGUGAACUGCCUUGGCCACCUCUCUCUCUCUUUCCCCCAGCCCACUUCACUCUAGCGAGAUCGCUCACCUCCUUUUUCUUUUGCAGGCCUGAUUCACUCCUGUUUUUUUGUGCUUUUUCUUUUUUUCUCUUGCAUUUUGCUUGCUUGUUUAGUACAAUGCUCUUCACCCAAAUGACGUUCUCUCUCACUUCCUUUAGGUCUUCCCUGAUUUAGCUCAUCUUAUAUAAGUAACCCUCAUUACUCUAUUCCCUUAUCUUGCUUUAUUUCUCCUUUCUGAACUUACUGUUACUUACUUUCUUGCCUGUCUUCCACACUAGGAUAUAAUAAGCUGUAAACCUGUCUUCUCCAUUUUAGUCAUGGUGCUGCUGUCUCCUUGUUGCUCAAACCAGACACCUGGAAUGUAGCCUUGAUAUUUUUUUUUUCUUUCUUCCUUUCCACUGCCAUUCACUCAGUUCUCUAUAUCUGAAACAUUUCAUUUCUUAUUCUCCACCGCCACUGUCUUAUCUGUGCUUUCGUCAUCUCUUACUUGAGUCACUGCUCAUCGAUCUACUUGUUCUGCAUAGGAGCCAGAGAGAAAGUCUUUAAAUUAAAAAAAAAAAAAUCAUCAAAUUAUGUUACUCCUUGCUUAAAAUCCUGCAAUGUGUUUCUUUAUUCCUUGCCUUACAAGGCCCUCUUUACCAAUUCAGCAGCCCUGUCUGCCAUUUAUCCCUUGUUCAAGAAGGGAUAUCUCUUGUUCACGUUUUUUCAUUUGUGCUUUCUGUCCCCCUGCAUGGAAUCCCUCUCUUCUUACUUUUUUGGUUUUUGUUUUUUUAAAAGAUUUUAUUUAGUUAUUUGACAGAGACACAGCGAGAGAGGGAACACAAGCAGGAGUGGGAGAGGGAGAAGCAGGCUUCCUACUGAGCAGGGAGCCUGAUGCAGCUCUGUCCCAGGACCCUGAGAUCAUAACGACUGAGCCACCCAGGCACCCCUCUUCUUUUUUCAAUAGCUCAUUCCUUCUCAUUCCUAAGGACUCAGCUGAAAUGUGACCGACCCAGAGAGAUAUGCCCUUACCACCAUAUUGAAAUAGUUUUUUCCAACGUCCAUUAUUUUGUCACAUGACUCCAUUUGCUUUCUUUGUGUCAUUUCACGUUUGCUUGAAAGACACUUUUCAGAAAAUGAAAUGUAAGUCAGACUGGGAAGAGAUAUUUAGAAUACGUAUAUUUGACAGUGGGCUCAUAUCCAGAAUAAAUAACUUGUAAAUCCGUAAUACAAAGAAAACUCAAUCAGGCAAAAGAUGGGAACAAUACCUCACUAAAGAAGAUAGAUGAAUGAAUGCAAUAAAUACAUGCAAAUGUGCUCACAUCAUUAACCGUUUGAGGAGUUAAAACCACAAUGAAACACCAUUUCACACUGACCAAAAUGGCAAAUUGACCAAUGUGUAUCUACUGGAGCUCUUACUCUACCAGUGGGGAUGCAAAACUGUACAUCUAUUUUGGAAAACGGGGGGCAGGCUUCUGUGACGUUAAACAUGCACUUACCAUAGGACCUACACGACCAGGAGGAAGCAGUUACACCCACACACAUUUUUCAAAACUCAUGGAAUUACACACUUAAAAUCUGCAUUUUAUUGAGUCCAAACUUUCCUGAUAUAAAAGCAAAAUGAAAAAAACGGCCUCUCUGGGUGAGCGAACGCCCACAGGUUGGCAAACCAGGCAGCCAGAGGACGCGAAAGCUCGGAAAAAUGCGGUCAGGGAGGCGGGGACCUGCGGCAGUCCAGCUGCUGUGGCAUGCCCCGGCAGGAUGCUAGUUGCAGUUUCGAUUUCCUGUCUGCUCUUGAGGUUCCCGGGCGGCUCCGCCCCUCAGCACUGGAUCUGGGUCCUCUUGUCAGAAGAUCCGUGGAAGCCCGCCGCCGCCAGGCUUUCAAGGGAGUGGGACGCGGGCGAGGCGGGGACCUCACCCGGAGCCAAGCCGCCAGCAUGUCGGCCGAGGAUCGGCGGAAUCUGCACGCCUUCCGGGACUAUGUCACGAAGACUCUGGACCCUACCUACAUCCUGAGCUACAUGGCCCCCUGGUUUAAGGACGAUGAGGUACAGCAUAUACAGGCUGAGAAAAACAACAAGGGCACAAUGGAGGCUGCCUCACUUUUUCUUAAGUUCCUAUUGGAGCUCCAGGAAGAAGGCUGGUUCCGUGGCUUUUUGGAUGCCCUUGUUCAUGCAGGUUAUUCUGGACUUUAUGAAGCCAUUGAAACUUGGGAUUUCCAAAAAAUUGAAAGUCUAGAGGAAUAUAGAGCGCUUUUAAAGCGUUUACAACCAGAAUUUAAAACCACAGUUAAUCCAAAAGAUAUCCUUCCUAAAAUAUCUGAAUGUUUAAUUAGUCAGGAAUGUGAAGAAAUUAUACAGGUUUGUUCCAACAAGGGGCUGAUGGCAGGUGCGGAGAAAAUGGUUGAAUGCCUUCUCAGAUCAGACAAGGAAAACUGGCCCAAAACUUUGAAACUUGCUUUGGAGAUAGACGAGAACAAGUUCAGUCAACUGUGGAUUGUGGACAAAGAUGCAAAAAAUGCUGAACCGAAAGUUCUUGAGGAUGAUGAAAUAGAAACUUCUGACAUACAGAUUUUCUAUAAGGAAGAACCAGAAUGCCAGAAUCUUAGUCAGAACUCAUCUCCACCUUCAGCCUCUCCUACUUGCACCCCACUGAAGCCAAGAAAUUACCAACUAGAGCUGGCUUUCCCUGCUAAGGAAGGAAAAAACACAAUAAUAUGUGCUCCUACUGGUUGUGGAAAAACCCUUGUUUCCCUUCUUAUAUGUGAACAUCAUCUUAAAAAAUUUCCACAAGGACAAAAGGGGAAAGUUGUCUUUUUUGCUAAUCAACUCCCAGUGUAUGAACAGCAGAAAUCCGUGUUCUCCAAAUAUUUUGAAAAACUUGGGUACAAAGUUGCAGGUGUUUCUGGAGCAACAUCUGAGAAUAUCUUAGUGGAACAGAUUGUUGAGAACAAUGACAUCAUCAUUUUCACUCCACAGAUUCUUGUGAAUAACCUUAGAAAUGGGACUCUUCCAUCACUCUCUGUCUUUACUUUGAUGAUAUUUGAUGAAUGUCACAACACCAGUAAACACCAUCCUUACAAUAUGAUCAUGUUUAAUUAUCUAGAUCAGAAACUUGGAGGAUCUUCAGACCUACUGCCUCAGGUCAUUGGGCUGACUGCCUCGGUUGGCAUUGGGGAUGCCAAAAACACAAUGGAAGCCAUGGAAUAUAUCUGCAAACUGUGUGCUUCUCUUGACACAUCAGUGAUAGCAACAGUCAAAGACAACUUGGAGGAAUUGGAAGAAAUUGUUUAUAAGCCCCAGAAGUUUUUCAGGAAAGUGGAAUCACGGACUACUGACAGAUUUAAAUGCAUCAUAUCACAGCUGAUGAGGGAGACAGAGAGUCUGGCAAAGAAUAUCUUUGACGAACUCGGUACCGUAACUCUGGAAAGUGUAUCUCAAAUUCAAAAUAGGAAUUUUGGAACACAGAAAUAUGAACAAUGGAUCGUUUCUGUUCAGAAAGCAUGCAUGGUGUUUCUGUUGCCCGACAAAGAUGAAGAGAGCAGGAUUUGUAAAGCCCUGUAUUUGUACACUUCCCAUUUGCGGAAAUAUAAUGAUGCCCUCAUUAUCAAUGAGCAUGCACGGAUGAAAGAUGCUCUGGAUUACUUGAAAGACUUCUUCACUGAUGUCCGAGCUGCAGGAUUUGAUGAGAUUGAGCAGCAUCUCACUCAGAGAUUCGAAGAAAGGCUGGAGGAACUGGAAAGUGUUUCCAUGGAUCCCAGCAAUGAGAACCCUAAACUCCAAGAUCUCUCCUUCAUCUUGCAAGAGGAGUACCACUUAAACCCAGAGAGUAGAACCAUCCUCUUUGUGAAAACCAGAGCACUUGUGGAUGCUUUGAAGAAAUGGAUUGAAGAAAGUUCUGAACUCAGCUUUCUAAAACCUGGCAUAUUGACUGGACGUGGCAAAACAAGUCACAACACAGGAAUGACGCUCCCAGCACAGAAGUGUGCACUGGAUGCGUUCAGAACCGAUGGAGAUAAAAAGAUCCUGAUUGCCACCUCAGUUGCUGAUGAAGGCAUCGACAUUGCUCAGUGUAAUUUGGUCAUCCUGUAUGAGUAUGUGGGCAAUGUCAUCAGAAUGAUCCAAACCAGAGGUUCUCCAGAUACAGAUUCAAGAAAAAUUAAUCAGGGAUAGUCAAGGAAAAGUAGAACCUGUACCCGAUAAGGAAAAUAAGAAGCUGCUCUGCAGAAAGUGCAAGGGCUUUGCAUGUUAUACAUCUGACAUCAGAGUGGUGGAGGACUGCCAUUACACUGUGGUGGGAGAUGCUUUCAGGAAGUGCUAUGUGAGUAAAUUACACCCCAAACCAAAGAGCUUUGGGCAUUUUGAGAAGAGAGCAAAGAUCUUCUGUGCCAGACAGAACUGCAGCCAUGACUGGGGAAUCCAUGUGAAGUAUAAGACAUUUGAAAUUCCAGUUAUAAAAAUAGAAGGCUUUGUGGUGGAGGAUAUUACAACUGGAGCUCAGAAACUAUAUGCCAAGUGGAGGGAUUUUCCUUUUGAGAAGAGAUCCUUUGAUGCUACAGAAAUGUCCAAAGGACCUCAGGACCUCAGUCUUUAGCUACAGGGAAUGGAUGACCUUGACUGAAGAAAUUAGCCCCAGUGGGUACAGUCAUGGAUUGUAUGUACCCCUGUGAAGAUACUUUACGCAAGCUUGUAUCAAACUGAGUAUGUCACUUACCUUCACCCUCUGUUUAUUGUUUUCAGCAGUUUGAACUGUAUCACAUAUGUAAAGCACAAGUGAAUCAAAGCACUAAUACUCUGUAGGCCAGUGGAGCUCUAAGUACUUGGGAGAAAUUAAAAAGCCUUAACUUCU